UUUUCUUCAGCGUUAGACGUUCUAAAAUGAGAAUGACACAAAGAAGGUAAGGAUAGCCCUUGCUCAAAGGCGAUACACAAGAUCGAGAACUGCCCCAUAUCCUU
rnacentral:snRNA from 1 species